rnacentral:piRNA from 1 species
AAUGAUAUUUUGGACAAUGCUGAU